UGGGGAAUUUUGGACAAUGGGGGCAACCCUGAUCCAGCCAUGCCGCGUGUCUGAAGAAGGCCUUCGGGUUGUAAAGGACUUUUGUUUGGAAAGAAAACUUAUCUAAUAACACUAGGUAAGUAUGACGGUACCAAAAGAAUAAGCACCGGCUAACUACGUGCCAGCAGCCGCGGUAAUACGUAGGGUGCAAGCGUUAAUCGGAAUUACUGGGCGUAAAGGGAGUGCAGGCGGCUUAUUAAGCCAGAUGUGAAAGCCCCGGGCUUAACCUGGGAAUUGCGUUUGGAACUGGUAGGCUAGAGUGUGUCAGAGGGGGGUAGAAUUCCACGUGUAGCAGUGAAAUGCGUAGAGAUGUGGAGGAAUACCGAUGGCGAAGGCAGCCCCCUGGGAUAACACUGACGCUCAUACUCGAAAGCGUGGGGAGCAAACA
rnacentral:rRNA from 1 species